GCGCCGCUAGUGUAAUGGUAAGCACUCCACUCAUCCAGAGUGAAGGUCGGGGUCCGAUUCCCACGGCGGCGCUCCA
rnacentral:tRNA from 2 species